rnacentral:ncRNA from 14 species
UUCUUAUCGAGAGAGGCAGAGGGACUGGCCCUGUGAAGCCUCGGCAGCGGACUAUUUAUAGUACCGUGCCAAAUCCAGCAAGCAUGUCUUGGGAGAUAAGAA